CCUACGGGAGGCAGCAGUGGGGAAUAUUGCACAAUGGGCGCAAGCCUGAUGCAGCGACGCCGCGUGAGGGAUGACGGCCUUCGGGUUGUAAACCUCUUUCAGCAGGGACGAAGCGCAAGUGACGGUACCUGCAGAAGAAGCACCGGCCAACUACGUGCCAGCAGCCGCGGUAAUACGUAGGGUGCAAGCGUUGUCCGGAAUUACUGGGCGUAAAGAGCUCGUAGGCGGUUUGUCGCGUCGUCUGUGAAAACCAGCAGCUCAACUGUUGGCUUGCAGGCGAUACGGGCAGACUUGAGUAUUUCAGGGGAGACUGGAAUUCCUGGUGUAGCGGUGAAAUGCGCAGAUAUCAGGAGGAACACCGGUGGCGAAGGCGGGUCUCUGGGAAAUAACUGACGCUGAGGAGCGAAAGCGUGGGUAGCGAACAGGAUUAGAUACCCUGGUAGUCCACGCCGUAAACGGUGGGCGCUAGGUGUGGGUUUCCUUCCACGGGAUCCGUGCCGUAGCUAACGCAUUAAGCGCCCCGCCUGGGGAGUACGGCCGCAAGGCUAAAACUCAAAGGAAUUGACGGCUGAGACGNGCGAGACGACACGAGGGAGAG
rnacentral:rRNA from 1 species